AAAUUAAAAUGAUAAAUAUAGUAAUAGUAAUGAUUAGGAUUUAGGAGUGAGAUUUAAAUAAAUAAAAGAAUUGACUAAAUUAUUGUUAGAGAAAUAUAUGGUAACAUAUUGUUAGUAUAAAUUUAAGGUAAAACCAAAAAAUAAUGAGUUAAAUGAAAUGGUCCAAACAACUUUUAUAUGUAGAUUUUUUUAGACUCCUUCCCUUUUAAUAGUAUUGAUUAACAUUUACAUGCAAAAACACUUAUGAAUAUAAUAAAUUAUUAAGUUAAUGUUACAGAAAAGAGAAACAAAAAGGAACAUUAAAUAAAUAAAUAAACAAAAAUAUAUAUAAUAUAUUUGCAACAAAUUAAAAUAUAUAAGUUAGGUGUAGCACAUUAAAAUAUAUAAGUUAGGUGUAGCGCAUAAAAAUAUCUACUAUUUCAUAUAAUAAUUUUCAGAUAAACAACAUAAAACGUUAACUACCUGAAUGAAAACAUUAUCUUACAUUCGUUCAAAGCUUUAAAGAAUCAUAUUUAUAAAUUUAAAACUAAAAUUCAGUAAAGUAUUUAACUAAAAAUUAUCUCAAAAAGAAUUUUGAUUUCUUCUCUAAAUGUAGUAUAAAUUUCUAUCAAAAUAAAUUAACAUUUAUGUCCAAAAUUCUGUCAAAACUUAGAAACUUUGUAUAUACUAAAGAAAAUAAUUAAUGAAACUUUGUAGCUUGCGGGGGUGUACUAUUGAAACAGAUUAUCAUAUACUAUUACACUAAAAAGAUUAAAAUAUGUUUGUCGCUUUUGAUUACGCUCAGUAAAACGCAUUACAAAUAACUUUUUUAAAACUAUUACCUCCAGUCUAUAUAUGAUUAUAUUUUUACAUCAUUAUUAUAAUAUUAUACCAAAAAGUUUGUGUAAGGAUUAGUUUAAGUUAAAGCAUCACCAAUCAAUGCAUUUUCAGAACGUUAUGCAAAUUUUAGGAAAUUUCUAAUUUUGAUUUCUGCUAUUCCAAAUCCAUCUUGAGUUGUUUAAAAUAAUAAUGGAAGUAUGUUUCUACUCUAACAUACAAACAAUAUUACGAGGUUAUAUAUUUUCGACACAAUACGAAUGACUAAUAUAUCUGCAUAUGUGAAAUGCAUUUAUCUAUCCAGAGUACUUUCAUAUAGUAUUAAAUAUGGCAUUGUUUACAUAUUGAAAUCUCCUACACAUAUCACAUUUCAUACAAUAAAUAUUUAUUUUCAAAAUAAUAAAUACCAAACAAAUUUUAGUAUUGAAAGUAAACUUUAGUUUCUAAAGUUUAAUGAUUUAUUCAAUCAUUUUUAUUGGUCAUCAAACUUUAAAAAUAUUUAAGUUUUCAAAAAUGAUUACAUAUUUAAGAAUAUAUAUAUAUAUAUAUAUAUGUGUGUGUGUAUGUAUAUGAAAUGAAGGUUAUUUACCUAUCCUUCAAAUAAUAGUUUAAAAUUAAAAUCAGAUGAUGUAUAAACAGAUAUAUGAUACAUAAAAAUAAUAGAAAAUAUUAAAACAUGAUUCCUACAAUAUUAAUUUAAAUUUAAACUAUGUUUACAUCUAAAAUAUAUAUUAAUGAUAUUUUAAACAAAAGUUUAUAAAUCUUUCAAAACAUUCAUUCUACUUUGUUAAAAUUAUAUCAAAAUAAAUAAAUGUUAAUUAAAUCUUGAUGUUUAAGUUUACAAUUAAAAAAUUAAUAAAUUUUAUAGACAACCAAACCGCGCGUAGCGCGGUAAAAUCUCUAGUUUAUGUAAAUUUAGCAUUUUGUGUCUAAAUUACGUAGCUCUGGUAAUUAUUUCUUUCUAGUCAUGAUAUUAUAUAUUUGAAAAAGCUAUUAUUCCACUAUAUAUAUUAAAAAGAAAAACUAAAGCGGUGGUUACACCACACGUGAUUAGUAAAAUUUGAGUAGGGUCUUACCAAUAAACUAUAUAAAUAUAAUACCAGUCGCGAUUUUAGGCCUACUAUAAUCUGCUUAUAUAAAGGAUAUGAAUGCAAAAGUAAGCACGUCUUCACAAAAUUUAGAAAAAAAAUCAUAGAGUCAAAUGUAGGGAGCGAGUAGAGACACGUGUGGGGUUUCCUAUCAAAUUUUGAUUCCAUAUUAUGAAGUUUUUAACAUCUACUUUAAAUGAUUUAUUUGUAUGAGUAUAAAGGGAACAAAUAUAGAUUUGAUGAUUCUAGUAUGUUGUAACUUGCAAGUAGAACUGGUAAUUAUGGUCUCAUAUGUUAAAAGAUAAAAUAUAAAAUUAUUUAUCAUGGACAUAAAUACAUUUAAAAUCUUUUAUUAUAGAUAUGUGUAUUGUCGGAAGAGUUUUAUCAUAGAAUUGUUCUUUCUUUUUUUUUUGACAUCUCAUAGAAUUGUUCAAGACCAUCCUAAUAUAGAUUGAUCAUUAAUGAAUAAAAAUAUAUAUAGAGAAUAGUAAAUUACAAGCUGAUAAAAAAAAUUCACAGUUUCACAUUACUUGCAUAAGAAUACGAGAGCAUCUCCAAAAGCUUCUUUAUGACUUCAAAUAUAAGGUUUUGUGCAUUCUAAAAGCAAUCUUAAAACUUUAAAUUUUAAGAUCUUUUACUGUAUAAUACCUUAUAUUAAAGGUUUUAUAUUUUUCUAAUUCUUUUACUUAUAUAAUUUUCAAAUAAUGUUAAUAUUUUUUUGUUUAAUCAUUUUAGUCCUUUUUAAUACAAAAUAUUUAAUUAAUACUACAAAACAAAUAGUCUACAAAGGCUAAAUAAUGUUAUUACCUGAUAUAAUAAACAGCGUAUAUUAUUAUGCAUAACAUGAUUAUUGAAGAUGAACGUGAGAUCAAAAUCUUUUAAUUGAUUAUAUGUGGGAUCAUUACAGAGGUAAUUAUAAUGAAUAAUUAUAAUUUAUUUAACUUUAAUGAACUAUUUUGUAUGUUUUUAUUUACCAGCAGUAUUUUACUAUAAUAUAAUAUUUUGUUUAAAAUACUUUUGCUGUAUAUUUUAUAGUUAUUGUAAAAAAAUUAUGAUUUUAGUUAAGUUUUAUUAAACAUAAAGACUAUUAUAUAAAAUAAAAAAAAUUUAAGAUUUACUAUAAGAUUUUUCUUUUGGAGAGAAACAACACCUUCAAACUUUAGAUUUGAGGUUUUGCUAAAUUUUAAAAUAAAAAAACUUUUGGAGAUGCACAAAACCGAUUUACACUUUUUUUUUAAAGUCUGAUUAAUUAAUUAUGUUAUUACAACGAUGAGAAAUAUUAUAUAGAUGAUUUUACAACCCAUAAUUCUACCACCUUAUGAAAAUACACGUCUAAUUACACCACUUCGAACCGUCAUAUGUUCGAUGAUACACCGUACACCAUGUUGAAGAUCUUUUGCUACCAUUUUUUUCAUAAUAUGCCUUGUAUUUUUUGAGCUUUGAAUCCCAUAUCUUGGGUGUAAAACCAUUAGUGAAGUUUUAGUCAAAUCGCUGGAGGUUCCAUCGGUUUAUACUUAUUAGAGAGAAAUACCAGAAACAUAUAGUCGGAUAAUGUUACAUGGGUAACCGGGACUUCUACCUCUAGUGGUAAAGGGCUUAUAGAUGUGAGUAUCGCCACCUGGGUUCGAAUCCCGGCCACUGGGGAAUUAACAUUUCGGUAUCGCCAGGGACAGAGGAACGACACGUGGCAACACGUGACUAGUCUGGAUCACUUCUGUGGGGCCAAGAUACCUCUGUAUAAUUCAAAAAAAAUAAUAAUAAUGUUACAUGGGCCUUCAACCGAUUUUUUAAUAGACCUCUACGUUAAUAAGAACCGGGCUCGUUAUCUCGUGGACUGAAAGACGGUUUAUACUUCUGUUGACCAUGUGUAUCAGCCGGAAUUUUUUUUUCUCUGGUAUAGUUCGGUCCAAAAUUAUAGAGUUAUCACCGAUGAAAUUUCAAUUCAACUUUUGAUUUAAAGAAAAUGACCCUUUCUUAUAUAUUUGUGUAAACAUGAUCAAAGGGUUUCCAAGUCAUUCGAUAUAUUUGUGUUUGUGUGUCUUGGAAGAGUAUAGGAUAUGGUAAAAUUUUAAAAAUAAACACUUAAAAUUUAUAUAACAGCCACGAAUAUAUUCAACAUCUACAAUAUUAUAUGAUUAUUACUAAACCGACUAUUAGCUAUAGACAGCGUAACUAAAGAUUAGACGGUCAAGAAAAUAUAAGACAAGAAUCAUCAUAUCAUAUUGCUUUCAAUGCAUACAAUUAUUGACCAACGCAGUUUCAAGCUACUCUUCGGUUACUAACUAGUGAGCUAAAUCAAUCUUGUUUAACUUGUAGAACUGGAAUUUGGUGAUGGUAAAUAGUUCUGACUUUGGCUGAAUAUGAAAAUUGGACUAGUAUGAAAAUUUCAGAUGAGUACUCUCCGUAACCGUAAGUGCCAAACAAGCAACUAGCCUCAACAUAAAACAAGAUUUUUAUUUUUGGCUGAAAAGUAUAAGAUAAACCAAUUAUAAAUUAAACAGAUAUUGAUUUGGUAUUUACCAAAGUAACUCAGUGUGAUGUUUAUCUAAUAGAUCAACCCCUAGAAAAAUCAAUGUGAUGCUGUAUCUCGAAUACACAUGAUCAUAUUAAUUAAAAAUCGAAUCUAGUUCCAAAAAGUGGAAAUAUUAAAGCUCAAAGAUUAAUACCUUAGCCCUUUCUCAAAAAAAAAAAAGGCUUAAUAGCUUUCUGACCAGUUACUAAUCAAAUCAAAAUGAUGUGAAAUUAAAUUCAAAAAGGAGAAAACUAAACCGAAGAUUCCAAUCACCUUUUAUUGAUUUAUUUCUUUUCACACUAGAACCACGAAAGUAGUUUUUCAUUAUUCGUCGGAUAUAAAUAAAAUUCGACAUAGAUGUUAGACCUCGUUGGCACGAGCUUGCACUAUCCCAUCGCACCUACCGCUAAUCAUCUGCUCGUUGAUUGUUAAAAAAAUCUUACAUAUAAUAUCUGACCAGUUUUGCUUUUAAUCGAUAUAUAUUUAUCCAUCUUGGUUGGAAAUUGUUAUGAAUUUUCAACCGAUCAUCUCUAAUGUUUUUCCUCAUUUCUUUCUUUUUAUUUUGAGUAUGAAUUUUGCUCCAAUAGGUUUUUUUUUCGUUUUCCCCAUAAUUCUUAAUAUAUUUAUUUUUCAAUUGCUUGUUUAUUUCUGAUAACACCAUUUGUUUGAUAAGAUUUAAAAUUAUACUCACUUGUUUUAAUUUUUAACUAAACCUUAACUUUAUCAAAAUGAAAUAUUUAUUAUAUUAGUAAAAUUGCAUAACCACAAAGAAAACAAUAGUAGAGUUCUAUUUAAUCAUUACUAUUUUGUCAAGAAUUGUUCUAUGUUGUAUUAAGUUUGUUUGUGUGUUUUUUUUUGUUUUUUUAUAGUACUUCUAUAUUCUUAAUGUUAUUAUUUAUUCUUUUAUUAUAUUUUAAUUUUAUAUAUAGCCUUACUGAAUUAUAAAAUUUAUAUUUAAGUAUUUAACUAACGUCAUUUAUAAUUAAGUUUUAAAUUUUAAUCAUUAUAUACAUAUUAAAUAAAAAAUUUAAAAUUAUGACAAAAAAGUUUUUAAAGCAAUAUUUUGUAUAAUGUUUUUUGCUUUUGCAUUAAACAAAGUUUUGUUAAAACUUUAAAGAUUAUUAUGCAAAUAAAAAAGUUCAACAUUACAAUAAGUUUUUAAAUAUACUAAAUAUUAUUCCCUCAAAUAUUAUAUAACACUAUUCAUAUAUGUACCUCAAAAAUAAUGUACUAUUACAGAGAAUUUUUCCUCAUUUUUUAUAUUUUCCAACAAUUUGAUAUACCAUUGGAGAUGUCCUUAUCCCAUACCCAUAAUCACCUUUUCGUUGGUUAACAUGACAGAUAUAUAUAGAUAUAAGCAUCCAGUAUUUUUUUCAUAAACUAUUGAACUACAUUUUUCAAAAAUAAAUGAGUUUGAGAUAAUAUGUAUUGUUUGGUUACGGAAGCAACCAUUCCAAGGUUGGUUUAUUGAAUGUCUAUCUCUUUCUAAUAAUGAUUUUUAGUUUUUUUUUCUCCAUAGUCCUUGUGGGUUGGUUAGUUAAGGAUAAGAUUUAUGUAUAUGAUUAAUGCUGAGAAAUUGAUAAAGGUAAUAAGAGCAAAUGAGUAAGCGAUACACACUAAAUGACAGUGAAUCAAAGAAAACAUCCACAUAAAAGAUCUUAAUAUGCCUAUAUUUUAAUAUUAAAAAUUUGGAUUAGUGCCUUGAUAUAAUUAUCUUUGAAAUUAGUUAGUGUAAGAUAGUAACAAAGAGAGAGAAUAUUUUCAAAAAAAAAAAACAAAGAGAGAGAAAAAUAAAGGAAAAUUUUAAUAAAGAGAAGUGAUCAGAAAGUGAUAAACUUAGAGUAUUUGUACUCCCUACACACAACUUCCUCUCUAUUUGCACUCCAUACACUAUUUCCCCUCAAUUUUUUUCCCCCUAACACUACCAUUUUCCCUCAAUUCAAUGGUAUCCCACUCUUUUCAGUGUAUUGAGCUAAUUUGCUCAUAAACUUAAGGGUCAAUUUUUUUGUCGGCAAAUCCGUUAUGUUCGGACUGUCUCCCUUUUGAAGCGAUAUUUAGCUUCUAUGAUCGCGAUCGGAAAAGAUGGUGUGUAAUAAUCAUCAUUUGUAUGUUAGUGUAUCUUGCAUCUAUCAAUGUUUUUUUGUCAAGAAAAGCAUAUAUAUAUGCAUGUAUUUAAGAUGAAACGUAGUAUAUAUUCCUUUUCUUCGAACUGUUUUCGAUUAGUUUUUUUUUUGUUGACGAUUACUUUUAUUUACUUGUAGAGACUACACCAACGUUUUUUUUUAAACACAAUCAUCAAGGUUCUAUUUGUUAAUUUUAUCAACAGAAUCAAUAUUAAUUAUUAAGUUUAUAUUCUCAUAUGGUCGAACAAAACUGUAUUCUUUCUUCUUUCUUUGAGUCUGGCUUUUUCUGGGGUUGACGGAUGAAACACUGACAUUUAAUCAGCUUUUCGAGACGUUUAUGUUUUGAGUAUUAGUUUGUUUGUAGUUUUUUUUAGGGAAAUUGGGCUGUAUAACCACCAAAAAAAUUAUAAUUCAAUCUAUAACUAAAAACCCUAUUUUUUUACUGUAUCAUGUGUCUUUUAUAUAAUAUUGCCGUAUUGCCCUCUGUUGUAACCGGUAAAACCUGCAAAAAAAAAAUUAAUAAUCAUUAUAUUUUAAAAAUAAUUUGUGUCCAGUAGAAAGUUACACAUCCACACAUAAUUUUUUCUUCUUCUUCCCUGUUUCUUCGUGUUCCUCUCUCUCUCUCUCAAAUUUCUGUUUUUUUUAUACGACGAACACAUAAAUCUCUGUCACAUAGCUUCAAUCACCUCUACAUGUACAACCAGCACAACCAUCAUCAUCAUCGUUUGUUUCAUCGCCGCCACCGUAUUUGCUCCGUCAUCAUCUCCGUAAUUUUUACCUUUCUUCUUUUUCGAGAAAUUAAAUCGUUUGAUUCUCAGAUUUGGGAGAGAGCAAUGAGACGGACACGAUUAUCAGAGUUGAUUUUUGCAAGAGUAUAACAUCUUUGCAUUCUCGGUGGGUGGCUGAAGGGGAGGUUUCUCUGAUUGUGAAAUCGAUGGUGUCUUGUUUGACGGAAGAGGCGACACGGCAACAUGAAGUAACAACGGCAAGUUCUUCUUCCCAGAUGUGUCUUGUUGUUUUCUACCUUUUUGUUACUAUACUAUUUUAUUAUGUUCUAUUACAUUUGACGAUUAAUAAAGAGUGUUCUAUUUUGUUUAGAAAUAUAUUUUGUAAUUUUCUUAAUAUCUAACUAUCAUUACAUGUUUUCAAUCUGUAAAAACCGUACUAUGAUUUAUAUUGUAUAGUUUAAUAUUAUAUAAUAUGAUUUAAUAUUGCAUAAUAUUGCAUACAUUUUGAUAUUUUGAUAUUUGGGUUUAGGGUUUAGGGUUUAGUGAUUAUAGUUUAGGGUUUACUAAUUAGAAGGUGAGGGGUUAUGGUUGGAGUCAUUAUUAACUUCUUUCAUGCAAUCAUAGAUAUUUCAUAAUUUCACCAGUAUGUACUAUUCUAUUUAUUUUGUUCCAUUCUAUUUGGGUUUAGGGUUUAUAUUUGGAUUUAUGGUUUAUAUUUGGGUUUAGGUUCGCUGAUUAGAGUUUAGGGUUUAGUAUUUUAGGGGAUGGGGUGGGGUUGGGAUAAAGUUUAGGGUUCACUGAUUAGAGUUGAGGAUUUAGUAUUGGAACUACAUUUUCUCUAUUUCUAUUCUAUAAGACUCAUGUAGAAUGGUAAUGUAUUUUACUGGCAUUUUAAAAUUUGAGUUUAGUUUAUGGAAAAUUGGGGUUAAACACUGGUUAAGGUUUAGAUUUUGAUAUUUGGGUUCAUAUUUGUUCCAUUCUAUUUGGGUUUAGAGUUUAUAUUUGGAUUUAUAGUUUAUAUUUGGGUUUAGGUUCGCUGAUUAGUGUUUAGGGUGUAGUAUUUUAGGGGAUGGGGUGGGGUUGGGAUAAAGUUUAGGGUUCACUGAUUAGAGUUGAGGAUUUAGUAUUGGAACUACAUUUUCUCUAUUUCUAUUCUAUAUGACUCAUGUAGAAUGGUAAUGUAUUUUACUGGCAUUUUAAAAUUUGAGUUUAGUUUAAGGAAAAUUGGGGUUAAACACUGGUUAAGGUUUAGAUUUUGAUAUUUGGGUUAACGUUUAGUGAUUAGAGUAUAGGGUUUAGGGUUUAUUAUUUAGAAGGUGAGGAGGUAUGGUUGGGAUCAAUAUUAACCUCUUCCAUAAAAUCAUAGACAUUUCAUAUUUUCACCAAUAUGUACUAUGUUAUUUAUUUUGUUUCAUUCUAUUUGGGUUUAGGGUUUAUGUUUUAGUUUAGGGUUUAUAUUUACGUAAGGGUUUAGUAAUUCGGGUUUAGGGUUUAGCAUUUAGAAGGUGACGGGGUAUGUUUGAGGUUAACAUUAAUUUCUUCAAUGCAAUUAUAGACAUUUCAUAAUUUCUUCAAUAUGUAUUAUGUUAUUUAGUUUUUUCUAUUUUAUUUGGAUUUUGGUUUAAAAUUUAGAUUUAUUAUUUAUAUUUGGGUUUAGGAUUUAUUGAUUAGAGUUUAUGAUUUAGUAUUUAGGGGUUAAGGUGUGAUUAGAAUAAGGUUUUGUAUCUAGGGUUUGGGGUUGGGAUAUGUUUAGUAUUACAGAUUGUAGAUUAUGUUAUAUAAUCUAUACUAUUUCGGUUAUAUGGAAUAGAGCAUUCGGUGUAUGUGUAUGUGACUAAUAAAAGUGUAACGUGGAUGAUUCCUUCUUUCUAAUGAAAUAAGACUACGUGGACACACAUAACACAUUAUUACCGGAUAAUGGCAAAGAGGAAGGGUAUAACCGGAUGAAUUAGGAUGUAAAUGUUAGUUUCUAUAUUAUGUCAAAAUCAAUGUCACUCACUUAAUUUUUCUUCUAAAUAUGGCUAGUUGGCAAAUAAGCCCUUUUUUAUUGUUGUUAAUAUAUUGAAAUAAUUAAGUCUUAACUUUAAUUAAGAGACUUUUGUGGCGUAAUUUAAGGUCCAAUUCAUCUAAUUUAACGUUUUUUUCAGCCAACACCCAACAAUACGUGCAUGGCAAAAAAAAAAUUUUUUGACUAAGGCUGCAUGGCAAUUUUGGAUUCCAUGAAAUCAAAUUUCUAUGUAUACAAAUUAGGAAAACAAUAUGAACGUUUCACCAACACAACAGCAAUGCCAUGGAAGAUAUAUACAUGAAUUUUUAAGUCGUGCGUUGUUGAAAUUUUGCAUCCCUUUAAAGCUAAUACAUGCCUUUUACUAUACUUAGCAAUUCUUCGAAUUUUAAUCAAAGAUAUGUUUAUGUGUAUAUAUUUAUUAUGGCGUUAAGGUGAAAUCGUCAACUUGGUGUGAACUGGGAAGAAAUACCUAAUCCAUCGAACCAUACCUUAUAAUUAUCAUUAAAAUGUAAUCUAUAUAUAUAAAAAAUUGUUGGUCUCACUCCUGGUGAAGCCACCUCAGCAUCCAGCUCAGAAAGUCAAGCUCCCUGGAUGCAACACGUGUCUCAUCUCACAAUGUGCUGCGUUUCAUUUAUGAUUGUUCUUAAUAUUUGUGGGCUUCAUGUUUGGGCUUUCUGUUUAAUCAGAAAUUCGAGCCCAAAAGCGACAAAACCACUAUCGUCUUCCUCGACUUCACGGUAAAUUUAGAGUUCAUUCUCCUCUUCAAUCUCCGACAACAGGUAAAAUAACAUGUAACCAUGUUCUAAUCAUCCGAAACGGUAACGCGUAACCCUAAUCUGUUUGGCUCAUCCUUCUUCUCCAACCUCUAACCUUCGCCGUCUUAGGCUCUGCAAAUCCUACAUUCGAAACGGAUACUCUCAGCUUUCAAACAGAUGUGGUUAGAACAAUAACCUUUCGGUUAACCGAGCUAACCAGUAUCACCGAGUUACAAUUGACUUCGUCCAGCUAACGGAGCAACCAACGUUGCAAGCGAUGGAGCAAGUGGCGAUAGCGGCGGAGCAAGCGGCGAGAGCGGCGAAGCAAGCAGCGAGAGCGACAGAGAAAGUGACGGACAGAUCAAGAAACAGAGUGUGUGAAGAGAGAGAGAUAUCAAAAGCAAUUACUACAGUUCAAGAUCUCACAUGGGAGGUCGAUAGGCUCUCGCACAUGGUGAGUUUAUAAGAGCUGCAAUAUUUUUUAUUUGUUUUUGUACGGAAAAAGGGAAUGACGGAUUGGUUUGAAUUGAUUUAUUUUUGCAAAAAUUAGAUUGUGCUUUCAAAGUUUCUAUAAAUGGAGGGAUGGAGGUUGCGGUGGAGGUUAUUGCUCAAAUUCGAUGGCAUCAAAGCAGAAAGGAAAUCUAGAGUACAAUGAUAACGCAGAGGUUAAUGUUUCAUCUCAUGCAUUCUUCAUUUGUCUGCAUCAACUAUGUUUACACAAUAAGAAUGUCAACAACAAUGGUAAACGAUAUGAAUCAGGUGUUUACGAUUAAUGACUACUGAGGCUUUCUGAUGAGGUGUGGUGAUAUGAUCAGUGACUAUAAAUAGUUCAUGUAUUGAUUAUAAAAUUUUUUUUAUUCAAAGCUUUCGUUUAUGGGAAUGAUUUUGAAUGCUGUUGUUAGAUUUUGUUUUAAUAAGUUCUUUUUAUUGAUUUUGUUUUGAUUCCUCUCCGUUUGAUCAUCUCCUUUAUGAUUUCCCCUUGGCUUGCUGUUCAUUUUCUAGGGUUCUUCACAGAAAUAUAAGAACAUUAAUGGCCAUUGAUUGAAUUUAGCAGCUACUAGCGUUAGAUGUAUUGUUCUCAAAGUUUAUUGAUGAACACAUCUUUGCCAGCUUCAUUUGGAUCCCCCUCGAGUUGGGGGUAGUUAAAAGAUCGUUUGUUUAUGUUGGAAUUGUUCAACAGAUUGAUACAAAAGGUUGGGUUUUCUUUUAAAAUUUGAUGAGUCAAUUCUAAGUUUGAUUCAAUAAGAAUAGUUAUUGCCUAUUGGCGUUGUUUUUAGGCUGUUUAGGCUUUGUUGCAGCUCAUGUGACUAAUUGUAAGUUGAUGCUUCUUUUUUGUCAGGGGUUUGAAAGGAUGACACAGUGGUAAAGAUGAAACUAUGGCAUCUCAAUGUCCCAGUCUCAUGGUUGAGAUAAUUAUAAUGCCGUAUAAGAUUAACUUCGUUAAUAUCAAUGCUUUGAUUAAUAUCUUGGAAGUUGGAACUAAUUCCGAAUAGCAAAGUUAUUCAGUUCUUUUUUAGGUCACCAAACUCAAAUAGAAAAAUUAACUUGAGAAAAUGAUGAAAAUACUAAAUUGGACAAAUUCAUAAUAACAAAAAUAGAGUAAUCAUUUUACGGAAUCGCGUUUUUAAAAUUUUAUGAUCCCGAAAUAAAUAAAUUUGAAUCCCAUGGGUACACGUAUACACACGAUAGACAUACGUUUAAAAAAAUUGACAAAUGCUUUGGUUCAAAAGUUAACUAAUUCAUAAACUAAACCAAUUGAUUAAGCAAACCAGGUCAUUGCAGUUUUAUUUUUUAAACAAAGAAUGCUUUGGUUCAAAAAUUCAGUAAUUCAUUAACUAAACGAAUAGGUUAAGCAAAUCGAGUAAAGUAAAUUUUGGUGUUAUAUAAUCUUUACUUUUUCAAAAAUGUAUAUCUAAAUAUUAAUAAAGAAAAAUUAUACUGACACAUCACUUUAUUUUAUUAUAUAUUUCAUAUUUAACAUUUAAAUUUUCUUAUUGAGAAUUUCGAAUGGAUUAUUUUAAUAAAUUAAAUAUAGUCUUUUCAUCAAAAUUAAAUCCUAAUAAUUUCUUAUAUUUUUAAGUAAGAACUUAUCUUUUAAACAAAUAUAAAUUCACUAACAUGUUAAAGUAACCUUAACAAAUCUUAAUGCUAUUUUUAUUUAAAAGUAAAUUAAUGAUUUAAAAUAAAUUUAUAAUAUUAGUUUAUUUAUCCGCCCGCCCGUAGGGCGGGUUUACCCUAGUUUUAUAUAUAAAAAGAAGGUUAUUCAUUAAUAAGCUAAGAAAAAUCCCCAUAUUAAUUGCUUAUCUGCACAUGUCGGGUUAUAACUUAUCACGUGUACAAUCAGUUUUGUUUCUGGAUUUUAUGUGUAGAAGCAGUUAGUAAUUAGUUAUCAUAGCAGAUGGCAGCUGAAUCUUUAGUCUACAAAUUUAUGAAACUUUGUGUAAAAAGAUAACGUUCAAAACUAAAUUAAUUUUGAACGCUUACUAGUACGAAUGAUUAUUAUAUUACUGGAUGAUUUACCACAAUGAUUUUGUGCUAAACUUAAAAAAUAAGAAGUUAAAACACAUAUACUCCCUCCAUUUCUAAAUAAUGAUAUUCUAGCACUUUUUACUUGUUUCUAAAAGAUCAAUAUUUUAGAUUUUCUAUGUAUUUUUAAUAAUGAAUUGUAAACUUCAAAAAAUAUUAAUUGACAAUUUUUGAUUUAUUGAAUGGCUACUGGUUUAAAUUUAUGAAAAAAAAUUCUUAAUAUUUGUGCAAAAUCUUAAACAUGCAUUAUUUAAAAACAGAGGGAAUAUUUCUUAUGUUCCUCAAUGAUGUAUGUUUAUAUGGUUUUACCCAUAUUUAACAUAAUAAAUUUUGAUAAGAAAAAAAUAUUAUCAAAUCCUGUUCCACAAGAUCCUAUAUCAGCUAUUUCAGUAUUUACAAAUUUUUCAUGAUUCUAAACCAAUAGUAUUUAAAAAAAGUACAAUUAGUUUCUUUUGAAAUUUAAAAUUCAAAAUUAAUAAAAUUUACAUAAAGUUUUUAAAUAUACAUCUUUUAAAAACAAGAUUUUAUUUUAAAAUAUUUAUAUUUUAGAAACAGAGAGAAUAUAUUGCAGAGUACCUUGUAAUCAUGAAGAUAGUAAUUUAAAAAUUCUUUGUGAACCACAAGUCUAUGGUAAUUUUCAAAUAUUAAGGACUUAUAUUUAUAAUAAAAACUAGAAAAUGAUUUA